rnacentral:rRNA from 1 species
GAUGAACGCUGGCGGCGUGCCUAACACAUGCGAGUCGAGCGGCAGCGCGGGGUGCUUGCACCCUGUCGGCGAGCGGCGGACGUCUGAGUAACGCGUGGGAACGUGCCCCAAAGUGAGGAAUAACUGCCCGAAAGGGUAGCUAAUACCGCAUAUUAUCUUCGGAUCAAAGGAUUUAUCCGCUUUGGGAGCGGCUCGCGUCGGAUUAGGUAGUUGGUGAGGUAAUGGCUCACCAAGCCGACGAUCCGUAGCUGGUCUGAGAGGAUGACCAGCCAGACUGGAACUGAGACACGGUCCAGACUCCUACGGGAGGCAGCAGUGAGGAAUCUUACACAAUGGGCGAAAGCCUGAUGGAGCAGCGCCGCGUGCAGGACGAAGGCCUUCGGGUUGUAAACUGCUUUUAUAAGUGAGGAAUAUGACGGUAACUUAUGAAUAAGGAUCGGCUAACUACGUG